rnacentral:pre_miRNA from 2 species
AAUGGCCACGCGUAUUCUUAGGUUACUAACAUGUAUUUGUUAUUGUUAUUGCUUGAGAAUACACGUAGUUAAC